UGCAGUCGAACGAGAGAGAGGGAGCUUGCUUCCUCGAUCGAGUGGCGAACGGGUGAGUAACGCGUGAGGAACCUGCCUCAAAGAGGGGGACAACAGUUGGAAACGACUGCUAAUACCGCAUAAGCCCACGGCUCGGCAUCGAGCAGAGGGAAAAGGAGCAAUCCGCAUUGAGAUGGCCUCGCGUCCGAUUAGCUAGUUGGUGAGGUAACGGCCCACCAAGGCGACGAUCGGUAGCCGGACUGAGAGGUUGAACGGCCACAUUGGGACUGAGACACGGCCCAGACUCCUACGGGAGGCAGCAGUGGGGAAUAUUGCACAAUGGGGGAAACCCUGAUGCAGCGACGCCGCGUGGAGGAAGAAGGUCUUCGGAUUGUAAACUCCUGUUGUUGAGGAAGAUAAUGACGGUACUCAACAUGGAAGUGACGG
rnacentral:rRNA from 1 species